GACCUGUAGAUGACUAUGGUUCUGUAAGGACUACUAUAGGAAGAAAAUAAGGGAGAAAAGUGGAUGCAUCUGGGUUCAGCUCUCUCGACUGUGUUCUACAACCUACUUGAUGGCCCAGAGGAAAAGCAGCCUAGAGGAAAAGCAACCCAGAGGAAAAGCAACCCAGAGGAAAAGCAUCCCAGAGGAAAAGCAUCCCAGAGGAAAAUAUUUUAAAUCAGCCCAGAGGAAAAGCAUCAAGAAAAGAUGCUAGAGACAAGAAACAAAGAGGAAAAGCUGAAAUGGACAGCUAAGACUUUGAACUGUAAUAAUAUUUUUAAUAAUACCAGAGACUGAAAAACUCCUUGACAUGGCAUACUAUUUGCAAAAAAUGAUUCUGCAAAAUGACACACUGCUUCAAUUUGGGCUUACUGGCAUCACAUGCAUCAUUGAUAAAGGAUAAAGAGUUUGCUGGGAUUCAUGAAAUCAAAUUGCAUGCAGAGAUCCUUGAGAGCCACCAGAUGGCAGGAGUGGUAUGUGUAGGCAUUUGUGGAGCAGAGACCUUUGAGUUGACAUCUUUUAGGGAAAAAUGCCACCGAUCCAAAUUGCUGAAGAAAAUUAAUACCGGCAAGGAAAGAUAAAGGUCCAUCAUUUUUAUAUUCAAGCAAAUAUUUGAAAUAAAACAUUUUUUCUCAAUUAUCUCUUUAAAAAU
rnacentral:lncRNA from 1 species